AACUCUGCUGGGGAACAUGCUCUGCUGAGGAGAGACUUUGUCAACCGCUUGGGGAUGAGGAUUCAUGACUUGGCAUCCGGUUCCUGUGACCUGCAACCAAAAAUACACGUAUGCCUCGGGGGAAUUACUCGGUUUGAAUUCACCAUCCGGGAUUAAGCACAUUCAAAGCAAUUUUAAAUGUUUUCCUGUGCAAAUCAUCUGCAAAA
rnacentral:lncRNA from 1 species